UAGGCUGCAGCAGCAGAGGGUUAGGGUCAGGCUGCAAGGGUGGAGGAUUCAGAUUAGGCUGUGAGAGGGGAGGUUAGAGUUAGGCACCAAGAGGAGUGUUAGGGGAACCACAGCAGGAUGAGCCAGAAGUCAUCAUGACAUCAUCGCCAACCUGGAAAAUACCUCUGGAGCCGCAUCGUACCAGUACAGGAAGAAGAACGUAUCUCAAUCAUAGUACUAGCCGCAUGAAAAACCAACAAUAAAGUAUAAUUAAAGAGAUGUCAAGUAUUGUGAAGAAAACAAUGCAAACCGGUUUCUUCACUUCAAAGAGGACCAGGGUUAUAAAUUUGGUGGCACCUGGAGAAACAACGUGUCUGCAGUCACUCGCCAACUAUGGGUAAUGCAGGAUUACAACAGGGACUACCAACCGUAAGAAGAAGAGAACCAACAGAGGUACACGGGAAUAUACCAUCAAUAUAAGCAGUGGAACACAGCCAGGUGAACCAUGAAGACGAUUGAUAGACGCUGUUCCACUCAUGACUAGCCACCAGCAGAAUCACUGGGUGUCAAAAAACAAACAUGGAACUGAGCUGGCUUGUCCUCCUCAAGAAAGCAUGGUGUCAUAAAACGUGUGGUGCCCACCCUGCCUCAAGCAUUGAGAGUAUUGUACAAUUCAGAAUGUCUUUUCAUCCAAGUUUUCUGGGGUGGGUUAGAUCAUGUUUUAUGAAUGGAUGUGAUCUCUUUUUAUAGUAGCUAAUUUCUGGUCCCUGGCUGGGCCUUUGCUGGACAAUAGACCAGUUUUAUGAUUGUCAAAGGUGACUUCCAGUGUCCAAGUGACCAAAAGAGUUCUCAGUCACAUAUCUAACUUCAUUUAUAGCCUAAAACUUGUUCAGACCACAAUGACUCAUAAUCUUGAAGUAAAACACAAAUAAAUAUAUAUAUAUAUAUAUAUAUAUAUAUACCCAUCUAUAUAAACACAUAUACAAAUCAUUAUUUCCUGAAUCAUCUAACCUUUUAACCAAUAUGUUCAAAUCUAUUUAAUCUAUUUCUUACUAUAAAAUAUAUUCACUGUACUAUUCACUAUGGUUAAAAUAACCUUUUAUCAUUAAUGAUAUUUCCAUUCAGACAAUAUUUCUUUAAUCUCAAUAUUCCUAAAUUGUAUCUUAUGCAAACAGUUACCUAUCUGGCAACACUACCCCUAACACCCUCUAAUGCCGUAACUCUAAGGCUACCCCCCUAGGCACUAACCCUAAGAGGGAGACAAAUACAUACCUUCGGGAUCCCUGUGGUCAGUGUCCCGGCGCCGGUAUGCUGAGCGGUGUUGGGAUACCGGUGUCGGUCACAUGACUACUGGUAUCCUGUCCACCGGGAUGCCAAACGUAUCCAAUCUGUAGAUGGGGCUUAGUUCAGUGUAGUUUUGGAUAGGCAGUUUAGCUCAGGUAGAUAAGUCUUGGUUAGGCAGUUUAGCUAAAAUUAGAAUAAGAUUAGACUAAAAUUAAAAUCUUAACUAUAACAAAGCACACAAAAAAAAAGGUGGCUAAGGGUUCUAUUUACUAAGCCUUGGA